rnacentral:piRNA from 1 species
UGACUGUGUGAAGAUAGCCAAUCUGCCUAU